GGCGUGGUGGCUUCUCGCCUGUCAUCCCGGUGCUUUGGGAGGCUGGGGCGGGAAGACUGCUUAAGCCCAGAGUUCGGGAAUAUCUGAAUGUGUGGAGCAAAGAGCGGCUCCUUUAUGUCUGGCCCUGUAGGUUUGGUCAACUCAGUGUGUGUCAAUGGGAAAAACCGAGAUCAUCCCCUCAAAGUAGAGAUAGCCAGAGUGAGGCCACAGCGAUUUUAUUUGGAGAAUGAAGGGCAGAACCACAGAGAUCUCAGGAGGGAGGGCAAAGGUAACUCAUCGUCAUCCACAGAGAGGGGACUCAGGAUUACGCUGUGCGUCCAGGCCAUCUUCCCUCCCAGCCCAGCCUUGGCACAAGUCGGCCCCAGGAUCAUCAUGUGAUAGAGCCUGAAGCCUGUCUCCCCAAGUCCCUGGAAAGUAGACAUCUGUGACAAUCCUCCCGAAUCCCAGGGCACAGGGAGCAUGGCUGAGCACGCCAGACUGCCUGGGCUCAAAUUCUGUCCUGCCAUGAACUGCCUGGGUGUCUUUGGACAAGUCAUUUGACAGCUCUGAGCCUCCGCCUUCUCAUCUGAGGACAACAGGAAUAAUGAGGGUACCCACCUCAUGGGGAUGUGAUGAGGCUUAAAGAAGAAAAUGCAUGCAAAGUUUUAGCACAGUACCUGGCAGUGAGUAUAUGUGCAAUAAUAUUAAUUAUUACUAUUUUAUCAAGAGGCCUGGAUUCUGGUCCCAGUUCUGCCACUGUUUUCCCUCCCUGGGCCUGCUUGAGUUUCUGUCUAUAAAGUAGGUGUUAAUUGAUUAAAUGAGAUAAUGGAUGCCAAAGAAGCUUCUGAGAUGAGUGAUUAUUUCUGCCCUUUGAAGUUCACUUCCCCGAGGCUGCAGGGUGUUGUCACCCCCACUCUGUCAGGUCUUUACUGGGCUCUCCGUCUAGGCCAGGACCCGUUGCUGAAGGGUCAGCCCAUCUCCUCCCUUCUGCCCACAAGGCAGAAU
rnacentral:lncRNA from 1 species